GGCCCCGGGGAAACAACAACAACAACAACAACAACAACAAAUCCAACGAGGAAAAUGACAAAAGCCGUCCCUGCCUACAAGAGAAGGAGGACAGGCAGGGCGCUGUGAUUUUUUAGCUGUACGUGGAUACAGACAGACAGGGAUCUUUGUGCGCGCGCGUGUGCGGCGAGCACAUGAACAACAUGCCACCACGCACCCGUCUGCCUCUCGGAACGUGCCUCAGCCCUCCCCAUGGCUCUCCCACUUUUUGGAGGACCACAAUACAGCUCUCCAGUGCAGAUGUGCCUCCCACCCCCCCAAGGAUCUCUCCUCUGGACUUAGAGAGAAGAGGAAAAGGCAGAUUUUGAGAAAUGAAAAUUAUUUAAGGAUGUCCCCGCUGCCUCUCUCUGCUGCCCUCCUCUGUAACACCGCAGCAUUUGCAGAAAGUAAUGCAAAAAUAAAUAAAUAACGAAAAGAAACUCCCCGGCCAGCAGAGCUGCAGAGGAGGAACCGAGGAUCCUUUCCAGGCUGUGCGGAGUCAGAGAGGAAGACUCCGUGGAGAAAGGUCCCGGUGUGGGGAAGGCUGCCGAUGGAGAUCGCUGCGGGGCUGCAAACCCUGAGCCCAAAGCAGCUCAGACCCACAGCACCGGCACAGCUGGGCCCCACGUUACGAGCUGCAGCCAGGGGACUCCGCUCGCUGGCUGGGGUGCCCCAGGUAUCCGGUUUCAGCAAACACCAGCUAAUGAGCACAGAUCCAGCCUCCGAGGGGCAGGUUCAGCGCUGCCGUGCCGCACGGGAGGAUGGGGGCACCGGGGCUCCCCCGGUGGGGACGGGGCUGCAGGGAACGGGCGCGGCGCUGAGCAUCGCAGCUGAGCCCCCCCGGGGCUCUCCCCACGUCCCCCCCAGGCGCUCAAGAAGCGGCAGAACCAAAGCCCCUCCGGCUGGUUGUGCGCACCGACCUCGGGUACCCCCCCGGAAUAAACAGAGCCGCUGACCCGCGUCCCUGAACCUGGAGCGGCAGGGGAGCGCUCUCAUGCUCACAGCAGGCAACUCAAGGACCCACCGGCCUGACUCAGCAAAGCGGGUUUCACUCAAAAAAGUCACCUCAGAACGUGGCCAAAAGCUGUGGAUUGUCCAUAAAUCAGACCUCCUGCAUACACGACGCCUUCUGUUACCAUGCGUGCUGAGGACUUCUCCUCUUUAAUAAGUGCAUUGGCAGAGCCGUGCUUGCACGCAGGGGCUGUGGUUUUGCAUCUCCCAGUUUCUAUAGGCACAGGAUUUUAUUCAUACCUUUGCUCUGAAGCAUCUGCAUGUCGCUUUCUUGCUGUAAUAGAUGAAGCUUUAAGUAACAACAAUAGAGCACCAAGGAAUCUGAAAUGAGCCGUGUUAUGAGUGGGCUAAAUAAGCAGCAUCCUCACGACCUGCUUUCCUCCAGGGAAGCUGUCCAGCAGCGAGCAGCCAAAUCACACAUCCACAAAGCUGCAUGGAGCUCCUGCACAGCCAGCCCUGGGUGCCCACCCAGCCUACCCGGAGCAGCUCUGUGACUAUGGGGACAACAGGCACUCACACGCUUGUUGGAAACCACAUCAAAUCUCUAUUUUCUCAGCUAUCUUUUUCCCCCCAGCUGUUUCUUGCAUGUUUUUCAGUCAUGCAUUCCUUGCUCAGAAAGACAUUCUAGCCAAGUCUAAGUGCUUAAGUUAUAAAAUAAAGCCUAUAAGUUUGCAAAGAAACGUGUAGAAUCGAGAGAGAGAUGCGUGCUGUUGACUACACAUUGCAGCCCACUGCUCUUUCCCACCUCUUCCAAAACCAACGAGUAUUUAAUCAUCUCUUUCACCCCUAAACGAGCCAGGCUAACCCAAGGACACCAAGGCCCAUCUUCCCAGAGCAAGGGACCAGGAGGAAAGCAGGAGGGGUGCUGCAGCUCUUUGCAAAGAUGAGACCAAAACCAACGCCAGUGUUGAUGGAUGCACUCAACUUUGCUCAGUUGAGCAGUUUCAACCCAAAGAGAUGCAGGGGGGCUCUGUUGGCACACAGACAUCAGCACAGCGCAGCAGCUGGGAUAAGGGAAUGAGCUUAAAACAAAAGGAAACCCAAUGCUGCUGACGCCAGGCCGAGUGGAUUCAGGUUCAAAAAUUAGACCUCGUCCUUCAAACAGAGAAAAGCCACAACAUGCUGAACAGAAAUACAUUCAGCAGAUUUAUUUUCCUUCCUUUCCAUAUUUAAAUGGAAGCUGCUUUAAAAUACUAAAUAAACUGAAGCAAAUUGGCACGGCGAUGAAAUUAAAUUAAAAAAAAAAGAAAA